AGGGGCCUGGGGCUAGGAGGACCAGCAGGGGCUUGGCUUUCCUGAAGCCUGCUGCCCCUUCCCUGCAG
rnacentral:miRNA from 1 species